AUGGACACGGCAGAAGGGCACUCGCUGCCGUCGGCGUCGUGCGGCGACGGCCGGAAGAGGAGAGUCUGCUACUACUACGACCCGGGCAUCGCCAACGUCGACUACGGCGCCGACCACCACAUGGUGCCCCGCCGCGUCGCCAUGGCGCACGCCCUCGUCGAAAAGUACGGCCUGCUCGCCGACAUGGAGCGCCUCCGUAUCAGGCCCGCCACCGAGGCCGAACUGCGCGCCUUCCACGACGACGCCUACGUCCGCCUCCUCCGCGACAUCACCCCGGACGCCUACCACGGCCACCGCGACGGCGACAUCCGGGACAGGGCCACGGCGUGCCAACUCGGCGUGCCGGGCACCGACGCCGCCGCAUACGACAACCCCGUCAUCGACGGCCUCUGGGACUACUGCCUCCGCUACGCCGGCGGGUCGCUCGCCGCCGCGUCAGCUACCUCCGGAGCUUCAACGUGCCGCUGCUCCUCCUCGGCGGCGGCGGGUACACCGUCAACCAUGUCGCCUGCUGCUGGUGCUACGAGACGGCAGUCGCCGUGGGCAAGGAGGAGGAGAUCUCCGACGAUUACCGUAGGGCAGCACCGGCCAAGCAAAAGCCAUGCCAUCAACGUCGAGGCCCUCUGUGACCAGAAACAGGACAAGAAGCCAAAGAAGUACCGAUACCACAGGGAAGACGACGACCCCAUGGAGCGGCUGCACCGGCUCUGCGUCGAGGCGGACCGCUACAAUUUCUUCACUGAGCUGGGGAAGAGAAAGAAAUGUGGGCUAGUAAAUACUACUCCCUCCGUCUCAUAA
rnacentral:rRNA from 1 species